rnacentral:sRNA from 1 species
GAGAACCUCCGGGGGGUAAGAGGUUCGACUCGAGCGUAGCGAGAGAACGUUGCGUCAGCAACGGCCCGCGGGGCGAGCCACGUAGUGGCG